CCGGGAUGUCCACCUGUCCCUGGGAUGUCCCCCUGUCCCCGGGAUGUCCACCUGUCCCCCGGGAUGUCCACCUGUCCCUCGCAGAGAUAAUGCAGUUAUCUAACCUGCUGCUGUGUUUUCAUCUUGUUCCGACAGCAGGACCUUCCUCCUCUUCCUCCUCGUCCUCCUCUUCCUCCUCUUCCUCCUCGUCCUCCUCUUCCUCCUCUUCCUCCUCUUCCUCCUCUUCCUCCUCUCUACCAGGCGGCUCCGCUCUCAGAGGUCGGGAGAAGUUUGUUAAAAGCAGGAAAUGGAUCCGGAGACGCACAGACUUCCCCAGGUUGGUCCGACUGAGAUCCGACCUGCUGCGCGGACCGAACCGAACAGGAAAGUGAUCCGGUUAGAAGAGCUGGCAGGUCUGGAGCGGCCACCAGGGGGCAGCAGUGAGGAGAACUUGUGCCUGGUGCAGGUCGGCGUCCAGCAGCCGGGAUCAACGACCCAGAGGACGGAGAGCCGGGUGUCCGUCUGCCGGUCCUCCAUGACGUCACGGCGGAUCUGCGUCGCUGCGUUACAAGAACCAGGCGGCGGCUGCAGAUUGAAUUAAAUAUCAGACGGACUGAGGGUGAGAUCUGAGCUUCAGGGAAACAAAACACCCAACAUGUUUCUGAGUGGGAGGAAGCAGGAGAACAUGCAGAAAACCCCAGGUUGGGAUUCAAACCCACAACCUGCCGGGAUUCCAGCCCUCAGAGCAAAGCGGCGAUUCUGCUAAACAGACAACACAAGUUUUUAUUUCCUUACUUCAGAAUGCAUUAAUGUUGUUGCCCAGAAUGUUGGACAAAAUGAAAUUUUUAUUUCGAAUCACAUUUAUGACGUUCUAGCAGAUUUCAGGAAAUCUUUUAAAACUUUUCAUCCAGUUUUUCACUUUCAAGUUUUUAACCACGACUCAUAAAACAUUUAAGUUUAUUUUCUCCUGUUCCCCAUUUGUGUGGAUUAUUUCACGUUAUCCUGUACAGAUGAUCCGUUCACAACCUCAGGGCCGGCGGUUCUGACCCGGUUCUGGUUGGAGCGGUUCUGUUGCGCGCAGCAGCAGAAAACAGAACCGUAAAUCUGUUCAAAUUGUGAUGCUGAGCGGGAAGCAGCAGGAUUAAAUCAGGAAAAUCAUCCAGAUUCGCCCCGCUACCGUGUUUGAUCUGUUGGGGUUUAGCUUCUAAGCUAAAUAUUGACCUCCGUAGCUAARUUGCUGCCUUAGUAUUCCAACUAAAUUGAAGCUAAUGUUUGAGGCUAAAUAGUUAGCAAGCUAAAUAUGUAGUUGGUGCUAAAUGCUUAGUUAGCAAACUGAAUAUGUAGAUUGAAGCUUAGCUAGCUUAGCUUCAAUCUAAAUAUUUAGCUUCAGCCAUUUAGCUUAACUAGUUAACUAGCUACAAUCUGAAUAUUUUGUUCUCUAGCUACAUAUUUAGCUUGACAACUAACUAACUAGCUUCAUCUAAACAUCUUGAGACAUUUGUAAAUGAAUAAAUAAGGUGAAAACAUGUUWGUUUUUUAAUAAACCUUUAUUUGUCUUGCUUA